UUAAUGUUAGGUUGCGCGCGCGCUGGAGGCCGUCGACUGCUGCUGUAAUUCGGGUAGAGUGGGAAGGAAAAUAUUGUUUAAAAUCGACUUUUAACUACUCGCGAAGAAUCCGUUUCGCUCGGAUUUUACGCUACUCCUUCCUUACAGAGAAAGCGGCUCGCUGAAAGGGCAGAACGGGAAAGAGAGUCGGUUAGCGGCCCAUGCAGCCAUAACGAGCCCGCGAUACACCAUCAGACUGCUGGAGAAGGUAACUCCUCGCCCCCCCAUUCCUCUUCUGUUUGCUAAGCUCCUCUGUCCCCUGCCCCUCAUAAUCCGCCCAGAGACCCUCUUCCUAAAGACCAGUUAGGAACGUUGGGUCUGUUCCUCCCCAUUUUCCCAGCCUCCAUCUGUCUCUCUAACUCCACCUGCCCAGUAGGGGGCUGACCGCUUAU